rnacentral:lncRNA from 1 species
GCCCCCCGCGCGUGAUGUUUUCAAGGCUACUUUUGAGGAUUCUGCUUCUCUUCCUCUUCUCCUUUCAACUUCCAGCCACACCACACUGCUGAAGCAGAGUCUCAUUUGACAGAGGAUGGUAGGCUACCUCGUACUUGAGUUACAUUUGGAGAGCUGCACUGUGUUGCUACAGAACACAGACAAGAGUACCUAAGGGAAACUGAAGCUGUAUGUGAGCCAUCAUCUUAAGAUUAAGAAGACGACUGAGCAGACGAGAUGCCAAGGCAAACUGGGAAGAAUUUCAGGCCAUAGCAAGGUGCCUCUUCUAUUACUUUCUGUGGCUAGGUGCAUCCUCAUGUUAUUUUAUGGGGGCUCCUAUCAUUAGAUUGGCCCAACCAAAAAAAAAAAAGAAAGAAAGAAAAAGAAAAAAAAAUAUCCUGUCAUCAUCUGUGUCCUGAAACAGAUACCAUCAAUGGAUUGCAUCCUGUCUGUCUUCAUGUUUUGGAGAGUAGGGGGUAAAGAGU